GAACACAAAAUGGCGACACGUGGUUAGCAUUCGUCGCCAACGAGAAAUUGGGGUCGGCCCGAAAGCUCUAGAAUGCACCCCUCUUCCUCCCCGGGGCCUUCCACCUCCGCGAGUUUUAUGACUUAAAAAAGCCCACAGGCUGGUCUGAAGAGGAAGACAAACAUAAAGAUGAAGUGCUUAAUUCAAGGUCACACAAUGUCGGGGAUGGACCUCCAGAUUUCCUUACUGGAAAACAAGCUCAGGGCUCCCACUGAUUGUACAUUAUGAGACGGAGUCUUGCUAUGUUGCCCAGGCUGGUCUUGAACUCCUCACCUCAAGCGAUCCUCCCGUCUUGGCCUCCCAAGUGUCAGGAUUACGGGCAUGUGCUAUCACACCCAACCUGAUACAUUGCCUUUAUAAAUUUUUUUUUCUUUAUUCUAAAAACCAGAAAAAACAAAACUGGAUACAUGUGCAGAACAUGCAGGUUUGUUACAUAGCUGUACGUGUGCCAUGGUGGUUUGCUGCACCUAUUGACCUAUCCUGUGAGACGUGGUCUUGUAACACAGUGGUUAAGAAUGUGACUUUGGAGCCAGCCUGCUAGGGGCUGAAUUCUGACUCAGCCAUUUACUAACUGUGUGACCUUAGGUAAGUCAUUUACCUUCUUUGUCCCUCAGUUUCAUCUCGGUUAAGUAGGGAUAAUGAUAGCACCUAUUUUAUAGGGUUAUUGUGAGGAAUAAAUCCAAGUAAAAUGCUUAGAAUAGUAACUGAAACAUAGCACUCAUUAGGAAUGCUUUAAUUUUCAUUUAUUUGAGUAUUAAAGGUUGAAUUUUCAGAGGUAUUUUGGACCUUUGUAUUUUUUCUUUAAAUCACUUAUUCAUGACUUUUGAACUUUUUUUUUUCUUUUAGAGACAGGGUCUUGGUUUGUUGUCUAGGCUGGAAUGCAGUGGUGCAAUCAUAGCUCACUGUAGCCUUGAACUCUUGGGCUCAAGAGAUCCUCCUGCCUCAGCCUCGUGAGUAGCUGGGCCUACAGGCGCCUGCUACCACACCUGGCUAAUUUUUUAUUUUUUGUAGAGAUGGGUUCUUGCAGCCCAGACUGGUCUUGAGCUUUGGCCUGAAGUGCUCCUCCUGCCUUGGCCUCUCAAAGCAUUGGGGUUACAGGUGUGAAGCACUGCACCUUGCCUACACAUUUUUUCCAAUAAUUUUUUUUAUUAAUUUGUAAGAGUUAACAUGUCGACUAUCAUAUAUAACAUAGAAUUGUUCCCAUUUUGUCAUUUCCUUUCAACUUUGUCUAUGUAGCUUUUUUUCUGUGUGCAAAUUUUACAUUUUUAGGUAGUCAGAAAAUCUCUUCCCUUGUAAUUUUUUCUGCUACUAGACCAAUGUUUAGAAAAAAGCGUGCUUCCCCACCUCAAAAUUAUAAAAAUAGUUACUUGUUCUUUUUGAGUACUGUGUGUGUUUAAAUCUUUAAUCUUUAAAUUUAAAUCUUUGAUCCAUCUGGUAUUUAUUUUGAUAUGAAGAGAGUGGUUGGGAUCUGGCUGUAUUUCUUUUUUCUUUUUUUUUCUUUUUUCUUUUUUUGACGAAGUCUCACUGUUGCUCAGGCUGGAGUGCAAUGGCAUGAUCUCGGCUCAUCACAACCUCUGCUUCCUGGGUUCAAGCGAUUCUCCUGCCUCAGCCUCCCGAGUACCUGGGACUACAGGCACUCGCCACCAUGCCCGGCUGAUUUUUGUAUUUUUAAUAGAGAUGGUUUCACUAUGUUGGCCAGGCUGGUCUCGAACUCCUGACCUUGUGAUCUGCCCACCUCAGCCUCGAAAAGUGCUGGGAUUACAGGCGUGAGCCACUGCGCCCAGCCUUGUAUUUUUUUUCAGUUUGGGUAGCUGUCCCUAAUUCAUUUGUUAAAGGAGAAGCAAGAGCAAGAACCUUUAAUCUGUUCUCCUCUUCCCUAAUUUGAAAGUAGCUUGUUAUUUUGAAUAUCACUUUCUCUGAAAUAGCACAUCUCCAUCUCAGAGAAUGGAUUUAAUGUUUGGAUACAGCCAAAAGUCAUUUCAUUACCAAACCAUGGGGUGAAUAUACCAUGUAAAGCAGUUUGGGAUCAGAACUCACAGUCUGAAUUGUAAGUGAUGAGACUGCUGUCUCUCUGCUACAGCUUCUUGGCUGGCUCUGAAGGCUCUUUGAAGGCAGAUCCUAACAAGGGGACUGCUUUGAAGGGCCAUUGUUCAUUUGGAAUGAUAAAGUCUAUGUUGUUCAAAAAACAAAUGCUUGUAGCAGGUAUUUUUUCACUCCAGACUGAGAAUAUUGGUGGGAUAUUGAUAAGGGGUACUGAAUGGUAAUAAACAUGUGCUCUAGCUCUGUGCUAGUCAGCUUAUUUCAGAACUCUAGUUUGAUUCAGUUUCUUGCCUCUGACUCAAAAUGGAGGGAGAGUGAUUUUUACAUAAGAGAACACACCCACAUAUCCUUUUGGCAGCAGCUACCUGCCAGAGAUGUUGAAGAAGAGUAGCCAACCUUUACACAGCAGAUAUUGUGUGCCAGUCAUAGUCCUAAGUAUAAUACCUUACAUGUAUAAACUUCUUAUAAGGUUGGUGCUCUGUACCGAAUUGAAUAGUAUCCCCCAAAAUUCAUGUUGUCCCAGAACCUAUGAAAGUGAUCUUACUUGAGGGAGGGGGGAGGGGGGAGGGAUAGCAUUAGGAGAUAUACCUAAUGCUAAAUGACGAGUUAAUGGGUGUAGCACACCAGCAUGGCACAUGUAUACAUAUGUAACUAACCUGCACAUUGUGCACAUGUACCCUAAAACUUAAAGUAUAAUAAUAAUAAAAUAAAAAAAAAAAAGAAAGUGAUCUUACUUGGAAAUAAGGUCUUUGCACAUAUGAUCAAGUUGAGAUGAAGUUGUACUGGAAAGUCUGUCUAGUGACUGGUGUUGUCAUAAGAAGAGAGGGACACAGAGGGAAGAUGGCCACAUGAAGAUGGAGGCAGAGAUUGCAGUUAUGCUGCUGCAAACUAAGGAAUGGCUCUGGCCCUCCAAGGAUUGCUGAUAACCACCAGAAACUAGAAGAGACAAGGAAGGAUUCUUCCCUAGAGCCUUCAGAGGGAGCAUGGCCCUACUGACACCUGGAUUUCAAACUUGUAGCUUCCUAAACUGCAAGAGAAU
rnacentral:lncRNA from 1 species